ensembl:lncRNA
GGAUGGGGGGUUGCGUCCGAUCAUGGACCUGCGGGUCUUAAAUCGAUCAGUUAUGAGAUUGAAGUUCAAAAUGCUCACGAUCAAGCAUGUUGUAGCUCAGAUCAGGUCCGAGGACUGGUUUGUCACAAUAGAUCUCAAAGAUGCAUACUUCCACAUACACAGGAAGUUUCUGAGGUUCGCUUUCGGGGGCGAAGCUUACCAAUAUCGAGUACUUCCCUUCGGCCUUGCACUCUCACCCCGCACAUUCCCGAAAUGUAGAUGCAGCUCUGGUUCCUCUGCGUAUGCAGGGCAUCCGCAUUCUCAGUUAUAUCGACGAUUGGUUGAUUUUAGCUCAAUCAGAGCAGAUGGCGGUUCGACAUCGAGAUGUCGUUCUCGCUCACAUGGGGGAGCUGGGUUUGAGACUGAAUGCCAAGAAGAGUGUACUUUUUCCAGUUUAGAGAACCACCUAUCUAGGCGUAGUGUGGGAUUCGACCACGGUGCAGGCACGUCUGUCUCUUGCUCCUAUCGAGUCGAUCCUCACAUCAGUCAAGAGAGUCAAAGAAGGCCAGUCACUCACUGUCAAACAGUUUCAGAGAUUCUUAGGCAUGAUACCUUUUGGCCUGCUGUACAUGAGACCCCUACAGUGGUGGCUCAAGACCAAGGGAUUUUUCCCGAGGGGGAAUCCACUUCGAACUAUCAAGGUCACAUGGCGACGGAUGUAACCAUGGUUCCUCGAGGGAACGAGACACUGCGUCUCGAUGCCAUACUCCCGGCACCCCUGCCGGCGCUUGCUGGUACUCAAAGCUGAAGCCACCCGCCGGGCACAUGCUUUUAUAGCUUCCUGGUCGCUUACGUCACCCCACCCAUGAUGUCACGCUCUUCCAUUGGACAGAUUACACACAAUAUUCAGAGUCGCUCACGCUAAACGCGUUCCCCAUAGCGUUUCGAUGCAGCGUCUCUUUCCCUCGAGGAACCAUGGUUACAUGCGUAACCUUGACACGUCUUCAAGCAUAAAUAUAAAAAAGUUUAAUAUGGCUUCUAUG